UACGUAGGGGGCAAGCGUUGUCCGGAUUUAUUGGGCGUAAAGAGCGUGUAGGCGGUUCGGUAGGUCCGUUGUGAAAACUCGAGGCUCAACCUCGAGACGCCGAUGGAAACCCCCGAACUAGAGUCCGGAAGAGGAGAAUGGAAUUCCUGGUGUAGCGGUGAAAUGCGCAGAUAUCAGGAAGAACACCCGUGGCUAAGGCGGUUCUCUAGUACGGUACUGACGCUGAGACGCGAAAGCGUGGGGAUCAAACAGG
rnacentral:rRNA from 1 species